AAUUGAGCUUCCUUGGUCAGCAACAUUUCGCAUGUAUUGUCACAACCCAUUACUGUGAACCGAGCACAUCUUGUGUGACUCCAAUGAGAGAGAAGCCCUGAAAACUUGUGCCUGGGUCUCUCUGGGAGUUGGUCCUGCACACCAUUUAUUUUUGCUGAUUUUGCUCCAUAUCUUUUUGUUGUAAUAAGUCAAUCGUAGCCAUGAAUACAACCACAUACUGAGUCUCGGGAGUCCUCCUAGCAAAUCACUGGGCUUGGGACUGGUAUUGAGGACCAUGACACACACACACAUACAUGACCUUUACCAUGGGAACAAUCCAGCUCACUGAUGUCCCUAUCUCACCACCAUGUACCCUGAGGUCUAUUAGAUGGAAGUGCCAGUUAGAAAUGCUUGGGGUGCAAGUAACCACACUGUCAAAUAACUGGACUGAACAAACGGGAGAUUAUUUCCCUCCAACAAGACUGUUGGUGCGAGUUCAGCAGCUCAGCAACGCUGGGCCAAGCUGGAGUCUCUACCACGCUGUGCACUGACCCUAAGGUCCCAAGAUGUCAGUCGCAGUUCCAGUCAACGCAUAUGUGGCAACAAAUGGAGCUGAGAAGGAAGGGAGGGGCCGGAGCAAGAGCCUCUUUGCUGCUUCAGGUAACUUUGACAUUUUCUGGUGACGCAGGCCACUGAUAAGUGAUUUUGGUUAUUUACCCCCAUCGAUACUCAAAGCUUUUUCUCCUCUCUUGGGGCUCCCAUCAAAUACUUAACUUCCGGUUGCUCCUGCACCAGCUUGGGGCUCCAGGACUCAACACCUCUGCUCCCUGCUUUCAAUGAACAACACAAUGCACAGAAGGGUUGGGAAUAUCGCCCCCUGAGGAGGCAGCAGAGUCCUGCAGCCUAACAUAGUGAACCCCCUGGGGGUCCGACCCAACAUUCCCCCGCCAACUCCUCCACUGUCACUACCCUGGUGCAAGUCCCCAUCACUGCGCUCAGAGGGGUCUCCUGCUGGGUCCCCUGCUUCUACCCCCACCCCCAAUCUGUUCCCUUCAGCAGCCAGAGGGAGCCUCUAUGACCAAGUCAGAUCAUGUUCCUCCUCUGCUUGACACCUUCUGGUCACCCCCACUCAGAAAAAAAGCCAAAGUCCUAACUGUGGCCCAUGAAGCAUCUGGCCUGUCUGACCUCAUCUACUGUCACACUCUGGUCCAGCAAGACUCUGGCAUACACAAUGAUCCUUCUGGAGCGCUCCAGCCUCAGUGCCUUUAGGCUGGCUUUCUCUCUGCCUGGAAUGUUCUCCCCCUACACUAUGACUCCCACUCACUUCAUUCAGGUCUUUAAAUGUCAUCCUGAGCCAGGCAUGGUGGUUCAUGCCUGUAAUCCCAGCACUUUGGGAGGCUGAGGCGAGUGGAUCGCUUGAGCCCAGGAGUUCGAGACCAGCCUGAGCAACAUGGCGAGACCCCGUCUCUACUAAAAAUACAAAAAUUACCCGAGUGUGGUGGCGCACACCUGUAGUCCCAGCUACUUGGGAGGCUUAAGUGAGGAUCACUUGAGCCCUGGAGGUUGAGGCUGCAGUGAGCUAUGGUCAUGCCACUGCAUUCCAACCUG
rnacentral:lncRNA from 1 species